CGAACGGGUGAGUAACGCGUGAGGAACCUGCCACAAAGAGGGGGACAACAGUUGGAAACGACUGCUAAUACCGCAUAAGCCCACGGCUCGGCAUCGAGCAGAGGGAAAAGGAGCAAUCCGCUUUGAGAUGGCCUCGCGUCCGAUUAGCUAGUUGGUGAGGUAACGGCCCACCAAGGCGACGAUCGGUAGCCGGACUGGGAGGUUGAACGGCCACAUUGGGACUGAGACACGGCCCAG
rnacentral:rRNA from 1 species